rnacentral:rRNA from 1 species
UACGGAGGGUGCAAGCGUUGUCCGGAAUCACUGGGCGUAAAGGGCGCGUAGGCGGCUCAUGAAGGCUGUGGUGAAAGUCCGGGGCUCAACCUCGGAUCGGCCGUGGCGACUCGUGGGCUGGAGCACUGUAGAGGCGGGUGGAAUUCCGGGUGUAGCGGUGGAAUGCGUAGAGAUCCGGAAGAACACCCGUGGCGAAGGCGGCCCACUGGGCCGGUACUGACGCUGAGGCGCGAAGGCGUGGGGAGCGAACGGG